CGACGUGGGUAACCUGCCUCACACAGGGGGAUAGCAGUUGGAAACGGCUGAUAAUACCGCAUGAGCGCACAGUACCGCAUGGUACAGUGUGAAAAACUCCGGUGGUGUGAGAUGGACCCGCGUCUGAUUAGCUUGUUGGCAGGGUAACGGCCUACCAAGGCAACGAUCAGUAGCCGACCUGAGAGGGUGACCGGCCACAUUGGGACUGAGACACGGCCCAG
rnacentral:rRNA from 1 species